CACGUAGGGCGCAAGCGUUGUCCGGAAUUAUUGGGCGUAAAGAGCUCGUAGGCGGUCUGUUACGUCUGCUGUGAAAACCCGGGGCUUAACCCUGGGCUUGCAGUGGAUACGGGCAGACUAGAGGCAGGUAGGGGAGAAUGGAAUUCCCGGUGUAGCGGUGAAAUGCGCAGAUAUCGGGAGGAACACCAGCGGCGAAGGCGGCUUUCUGGACCAAUACUGACGCUGAGACGCGAAAGCGUGGGGAGCAAACAGG
rnacentral:rRNA from 1 species